ensembl:lncRNA
UUGUUCAGUGUGUCAGGAACCUGCCCGGACAGUCUUGUCUUUGUUCGGUGUUUUACUGUUUGUUUUGUGUCUAAGCACAUGGUUCUGUCUCUGUUUGUGUCUGCCACAUGCUCCUCUCAUCCCACCUCCUUGUUUCCCUUGGUCACGCCCCCUUGUUUAGCCCUUGUCUGCUUGAUUGUUUUCACCUGAUCCUCGUGUGCUGCUCUAUAUAUUGGGUUUCCUUUCCUUGUGUCUCUGCUGGUUCGUUUUUGGUGUUUACCUGUCUCUUGGCCCAGAAUUUAUCCUUUUGAUCUUGAUCAUUAUUUUUGAUCUCUUCUCUAGAUAUUUAUAUCCUUUUUGGUCUUUAGUUUUUGUCUAGUUUAAGAAGAAUGGAAAGAAAAAGAAAUUUGUUGUGCAUUCUAAUCUAGUUUUGUUUCUCAUUUGAUUUAGAUUUUCAUCUACUCUUGUUUAAGAGAUUCCAGUUUUGGAUCUUGGCUUUUUGUUUUUUGUGUUUGUCCUGUCUUACCCUCUCAGAAUCCCUGGCCACUGAACCCCACUGCUUGGAAGCAGUUCACCUCUCUCACGUGUCAAGACUCUGGUCCCAUGAGCCCCUACCUGGCGGCUAGACUGGUGACAUUAGAGUUUCACUUAAAGCUACGGGUUUCCUGUGUGUGUCUACCUGGUCCUUCCUCUUGAGCUGCCUCCUCUGUGCUUGAGCCCGUGGUCAUCUCGGACUGUCUCUGUGGUCAUCCCUCCUGCCUGUAUUGUUGUCUGCCCUGCCCCUCUGUUUGAACUGUUUCACUGCAAAUUCCUCCAGCUGUUCCAGUUUGUCUUGUUAAUAAAAUACCCUUGUCUGCUCAUUCUGCAUUUGGGUCCCAUUUCCUGCAGAUCCGUGACACAGUGUCUCAAAUCAAGACAAACAGCCCUCUUUGACAAUGACGCCUUUGUGGCUGCUUUAUUUCUUGAUCCUAGAUACAGACUUUUUCUUAGCAAUCUUCAAUCCCAAAGUGCAAAAAUUCACUUGUGUCGUGCCUGGGAAGCCAUUCAAAAUCUAUCUGGCAGCAACACGAUGGCACAGCAAAGUCCGUUCCAAUCAUCCGGCGAUGACAACGAGAUAGAACAGCUGUUGAUGGCAAAAGAAAAAGAAAGCACACAUUUUGGAUAUUUUUAAAGUUCUGGGCAUGUGUUGUUCCCCUAACCUAACUUGCUAUGAAUGUAAUUGCACUACCUGUAACACAAGUCAGCAUAGAGCGUGCAUUUUAAUGCGUCAAGUACAUUCUUUCCCCACUGAGGUCUUCAAUGAAUGCACAGGUCAUGGAGGACAUUCUUUUCCUAUGUUUAAACAAGCAGUAUGGACUUUAGGCUCAUAUAGACUUUUACAGUUAGUGCAUUUCG